CCCUACGGGGUGCACCAGGGCCUGCCACUGGGCAUCGACUUCGCGCAUCUUGGCGACGUCAUCCAUGUAGUAGACCGAUGGCAGGAUGCGGGCUCCUUCGUCGGCCCACGGGAGGGACUUGGAGUAGUGGUAUUGGCGGAUGCCUCCGACGAAUUGCUUGAUUUUCUCGAGGGCGUCUUCGGGCAGUAGCUGCUUGACGAAUUUGCCCGCGUCGGCGGAGGCCUCGUGCUGGGCAAUGACUUCCCGCGUGACUCGUUUAUCGGUCUUGCGAGGGGAGAACAUGCUGAUGUUCAACGUGACUAGCAUGGCUCUGGCUUGGAGCGUGUUGUUCAUACGGAGUUGUGGUUGCGGCCACCACAGCGCGACCGCAACAGGCGAUCGCGCCAUGGUGGCGAUUGUUUCUGGUGUGAAAUGAAUUGGCGGGAGAGC
rnacentral:rRNA from 1 species